UACAGAGACUGCGAGCGUUAUUCGGAUUCACUGGGCGUAAAGGGUGCGCAGGUGGCCAAGUGUGUUAGGCGUGAAAGCCCGGGGCUUAACCCCGGAAUUGCACCUAAAACUACCUGGCUAGAGCAUUGGAGAGGGGAGCAGAAUUCAUGGUGUAGCAGUGAAAUGCGUAGAUAUCGGGAGGAACACCUGAGGCGAAGGCGGGCUACUGGGCUGAUACUGACGCUGAGGCGCGAAAGCUAGGGGAGCAAACGGG
rnacentral:rRNA from 1 species